rnacentral:tRNA from 1 species
UGGCGAAGUGGUUAACGCACCGGACUGUGACUCCGGCAUUCGUGGGUUCAAGCCCCAU